GACACUGUGGUAUGUUUCUGUCCAACUUGUGACACAGACUUCAUAGACAGUACAAAAAAAAAAUCAAUCCUCUUUUGCAACCCAGAACUCACUGUUCAACGUGAGUUUUGAUACAUAGAAGAAGGAAUAUU